rnacentral:snoRNA from 1 species
GUGCCCUUCUAAGGUUGAAGUAGUGCUUUAAAGAAGCUAACACAGAAGAACAGAAGAGUAGAUGAAGUUUCUAUAAAACUCAGAGACAAGAGGCACAGAUCCUCUUGGUUCUUGUCUAGAAUUAGAAUA